GCUCGCAUAGAUCAAUUGGUUAGAUCGCCUUGCAAAAUGUGGGAAAUAUUUGUAUAGCUUAUGCAGGAGACGGAGGUUCGAAUCCUCCUGCGGGUA